GGCCGACUUUGGCAUACUAGCGAGGCUUGGAAACGAUGUCAAUGCCAACCUCUACUAAAACCGUAUCGGGUGAAAAUUAAUGGAGACAAGUAUGGAAUCAUUAUCAACACAGUCGUUACUCAGGGAGGGUUCCCUUCUGCAGCUGCAACAUGAACGCAAGGAACGGACACUAAUUGCAACAGGUCAUGCCGCAAGUUGGGAAACUGGUGAUCCUCCGAGAGGAUCAUGAAACAGAUUACGGAGUUUAGAAUGAUAUAAAGUUCAUUAACACCUGUAAUGAAUAUAAAACAACAAUACCAGGUGAGAUCGGUUUGAAUUUAACAGACAUAGGUACGUACAUACCGAACAUACCUAACAUACCGAACAUACCGAACAUACAGUACGACAGGUAAGAUACAGCUCUGGUAAAUAUGAAAAUAUGAUACAGAACUAGAGAUACAGA
rnacentral:sRNA from 2 species